GCUGGGUGUGGUGGCUCACACCUGUAAUCCCAGCACUUUGGGAGGCUGAGGCGGGAUUAUCACUUGAAGUCAGGAGUUCAUGGUUUGUGACCAGCCUGGCCAACAAGGUGAAAUCCCGUCUCUA
ensembl:misc_RNA Metazoa_SRP Metazoan signal recognition particle RNA